ensembl:lncRNA
GCACAAUAAAUAAUUUAGGAAAAAAUACAAAUAACAAUAAUAUGAAUAAUUCCUAUGUAUCCAUUGCCGAAAAUGAAAACAAAGGGCUAUAUAAAGAAAUAUUUUACACUGCGUUUGACAAUAUAAAAAAAAAUGAAAAAAAUACAGUCAUAAAAUCUAUACUAAUGAAUUUACAUAUCAUUCCAUCUGUUUAUUCAUCAAAUGUUACUUUUCCGAUCGAAGAAAAUAUUGAAAAAACAAGAUAUAUUAUUGUUAUUAUUAAUUUUUUAUUUACUUUAAUGAAAACUAAAUUUUACGAAGUUAUACAUGAAAAUACGUUUGAAUAUAUUGACUACUUUAUUGAACAAUUAAAAAAAAGUGUAAACAUAAAAAAUAUUAAACUAGUUUGUGGAUAUAUAUCUCUUUUAUUAAAUUAUUCAUUAAAUAAAAAAACUAAUAACUUAAACGAAACCGCUGAUUUAAAAUCUAGUAUAUUUAUAAAAAAUAUUCAUUAUAAUAAUCAACCAAAUAUUAUUAAAAUACAUAAAGCUUUAUAUGAAUCUGGAGCAUUAACAUUUCUUAUAUCUUCAUUAUAUGAUUCGAAGGAUUCAUUAAUUAUUUAUAACUGUAUUUAUUCUAUAUCUUUUUUGUUAUAUAAAAAAUCUAUCUUAGAUUAUGAUAAAAAUAUAGAACUAUCUAACAUGAAAAUAGCAAUUUUAAAUAUAGUUAGACAUUAUUAUAAUUUAGAUACAUAUAUGGAAACAUAUACAGAAAAUUUUAUUGAUUAUAAAGGUUUUUUAAAAAGUGGUAAUAACAAAAAAAAUGUAGCAUUAAACGAAGAGGAUAGUAAUUAUAACAACCUGUUACAUAAAUUUAGUAAAAAAAAUACAUAUGAAUAUGAAGACUUAAAUCAAAAAUAUUUAUAUGAAGAAGAAAAUAAAUAUUUAUUAAAUGAUAAAAAUGAUAAAUACUUAUCAAAUCAUGUAAAUUCAAAUUAUGCACAAAAUAUCAUUAAUAAAAAUAUUAAUUCUAAAGAACAUAUGAUAGAAAAUAAAAAUAUGUUUCCAAAUUUAAAAUAUCAAUAUGCAAAUGUAAAUUAUGAAAAUUCCUUUUUUCUCAAUUUUGAUAAAAUAUUUUAUGAAACAGUCAAAAAUAAAAAAAGCUCUUAUAAUUUUUAUUUUGAUACAAUUUAUAACACACAAUAUUUAUUCAAUUUUUUGUUACAUAAUUUUUUAUUUUACUCAAAAGACGCAGAUGAAUAUUCAAAAAAAUAUCUGUUAAAUAUUUUAUUACAUAAUAACAUAACCAGGUCAUCUGACAUUAACUUUUAUUCCAAUAAAAUCAAAAAUUUAAACUCUCAAUUUAAUGAAUCACAAUCGAGACUAGAACUUUAUAAACAAGACCUCGAAAGAUAUAAAGAUGUUAUAAAUGUAUUAAAUAAAGAAAUAGAAGAAAAAGAUAGUACUCAUAAUAUCUUAAUCCAAAAAAUAAGAAAAGAAAAUGAAAUAGAGUUAAAUAGAAAAAUCCAAGAAAAUAACAACUUGGAAAAUAUUAUCUCGCAAAAAAAUGACAUAAUAGAUGAGUAAUGGCAUACCCACAAAACUGAAAAAAAAAAAAAAAAAAAAAAAAAAAAAAAAAAAAAAAAAAAAAAAAGAAAAAAAAAAAAAAAAAAAAAAAAAA